ACACUGACUAUAAGGAUGUAUAUAGAUACUGUAUUACUACACUGAUAUAUAGAUAUACUGUACAUGUAGCAGCGUCAUCAUGCAGAAACCUACGUCAGGUUAAACGUUUUUAGAAGAGCUUGAAGGGGAACUAACAUUGUGAUGAUAAAACUGAUGAACUUUGACCAGAAUGACAUCGACGUUUCACCUCGUUGCACAAAAACAAUCACAGACAAUACGCAGUGAAAUACCGACUGUAUUGCCUCACACACCCGCACAUUGCUCAAGCACAGUGAGGCCAAACAAUCACACCCUGCAACCCUCCCGCUGUAUAAACACCACUAACUCAGCUCAGCCAACUGGACACACCAACUUUAUUUAAACUCUGAGCUGAAACAAUAAAUAUCUCCGGUUUAAACACGUCGCUGGGUUCAGGAGGAGACUCGCUUUAAACCUCUGAGGAGGACGAGGAGGAGGAGGAGGAAGAGGAAGAGGACGAGGACGAGGAGGAGAAGGAGAAGGAGGAGGAAGAGGAGGAGGAGGAGGACGAGGAGGAGGAGGAGGACCAGGAGGAGGAGGAGGACGAGGAGGAGGAGGAGAAGCAUAUGUUCCUGCAGGCGUUGGAGGCCCCUGCUUUUAAAAAAACGUCAUAAAUCAGAGCGGAGGCUCGUCUCCUCUGUUUGUACAGCACUUCACCGUCAAGUUAAACCUGUCUGCACCAAACUGAACGUCUCUUUCUCAGUUUAGUUUCUGCUGAAGAACAUAAAUCAUCUCAUUGUUGGAUUUGAAACCAGAAGUAAAACUAGAGAGUUAAAGUUAAAGUUCAUUAUUCAGAAGUUAGAAGUCAUUGAGUUUGAGCUAAAAACUGGAUCUAAUUCUGUCACAUGUCGAGCUACAACUAAUAAUUACCAGAAUUACCAGAUUAGAUAGACUGAUUAAACAGCUGUGAUAUAACGUGUUAAUUAGUCAUUAUAGCCGAAUCGAUCUGAACAUCUAACUCUCAAAUAAUUUCCCAAUAUGUCGAAUUAUUCCUUUAAAGUUGAAGAAUUAAAGCACCUUUUCCCAACGG